rnacentral:lncRNA from 1 species
AGACGCCUCAGAUGGACUGUGGUGGCUACUGUUUCAGAAACAGUGACAUGAUGAUCAAGGGCCCGAACCACUGUGAUAACCACAAGAGUGCCCAAACUUUCAAGAACGGGGGAAACUGACCCAUAUAAAGCCACUUACACACCACGUAAAAAUAGACACACCAAGCCUGCCCCAGGCCGCUGUCUCCCUUGUGUGCAGACCUGACCUCAU